UGGAAAAUCAGGCUCAUGCCUCCGCGGAGAGUCAGUGCUUCCCCUGCUUCCCCUCACCAUCUCGCUUUCCCCUAAAGGGAGGUGUUUCCUCGAAGCUGGGAAAAGUCAAGGGGGCAGAGACCUCAGCAGCCACGGGGAGGCGGCACUCGGUUCUUCACACGUUCUGUGUCUGCACGUGCUCUCCAUGCCUCCUGAGUCACAAGUUUGAUCGGUGUCCCCCUCUCCCUCUUGGCAUUGAUCCCUUGAAGCUCAGCGCUGAGAGAAUUCAAGCCUUUCAUCUCAAGAAGGAGAAAUCAAGUCUUAGAGCAAGACACCUCAGAGCCACUAAAAGGGAACAUGGAACCUGGUAGACCCCACCCUCCUGCCUCCCAGGCUGUGAAUUUUCUAACCCCAGGGGCAAUCAGGAGGACCCAGCACCUGGGAUGUUCAGCACAGCAGAGCUGUUCCAGCACUCCCUGCAGUUCAAGCAGCUGGGUUGCCUCGAGAGUGCCCAGGCCUUGCCCAGGGGACCCAUGGUACCCAGUCCAGCCAGUAGCAGCAGCUGCUCAGCUACCCCAAGAACUUGGGCUAGAAGGAGCAUGUUGAAAGGAGACUCUUUUGAUGACCCAGGCAUCCUCCACCCCAGCCCAUCCCCACUCCAAGCUGUUGGGUGUGCAAGCCCAGGGAUACUGCUACCUCCACCCUGGUGACCCCCCAACUCCUGAGCCCACAGACAUGCCAAGACACAGUUCAUGCAGGCCCUGCCACCUGAGAACUCAGACCCUAGCAAAA